GAUGGGGACACUGAAGUAUAAGCAAAUAGCGAAAAAUAAUGUUUUUUGCCUUGAUGUAACUAUAACGUCUGCUGAAGCGUAUUAUGUAGUUGACAGUCACGCGCGCGCGUCUGUACUCUGCCACGAUACCAAAUUAUCAGUUAUAAAUAAAUGUGCGGCAAACAUUACGCGGUAAUGACAGUGGCGUGCGAUAAGAUAGUUUUCUAACAAUACUUGGUUUAACGCGUUGAAUGUCUCAGACAGCCACUAUAAACUUGACAAAUUAAUCCACAUUUUUCUCUGAUAACGAUACGACGUAAACAAAUAAUUAAAUUACUUUUUACAGUCGUGCUGACAAAAACCAGUUAGAAAUAAAAUAAAUAUCAUAAAUCGUACGUUAUAAAUUAUGCUCCGAAGAUGAAGCCUACGAUUUUUAUCAGAUUUAAUUUGUAGAAGCAAGUAGAAUAACCAGCUUCGGUUAUCUUCGCACUAACGGAUCUGCCUGUUCGCAAACUUGGUAUAUUCGCAGCGUGGAUAGCGCGUGACGCAUGCUGGCGACGUCGGAGCCUUCUGCUCCCCACCCUCGAAUUCGAUCUAUCUUUCCCCACCGCGUACGUUCGAUCCCCUACCGAUGAUAUUGCAACGUACCGGACGCGACAAAGAUGGAAAGAUUUGCGUGUACCCCGAGCACGAGCAAAACGGAACACGUGCCGUCACAGUGGGGGCGGAGGAGGAGCGAGGAUAACUGAAGGGUAGGGGAUAUCCGUGUGCAACGAGAGGGGCAGCCGACUGUUCUCACCCUCGCGCUCACCACACCCCUUCCACCAACCAGUGGUGCGCGUUUUCUCCCACGUAGCGGCGUUAACCGACAGGACCUUUGUUGCCCGCCACGCUCGAACGGUGUUUCAGUCGCCGAGUUUGGACGCUGGUGCCGUCCAGCGACGAUCACGCAAAGCUCCAAGGUCGUAGGGGUAGUGGAAGGAUUGGUGGUGGGACAGUGCGACGACGAGAGAGGAAACGGUGGCAAUGGAAGGGUGGACGAGAGAGAUCCUGGUGGGGCGAAUCCGGAGAACGUAGCCGAGGAGGACGGGGACAUGCUGCUCUCAGGACGCGCAGAACAUCAGAGUGGGUCGAAAAGGACGGGUGUCUCUGUCUCUCUUUAUCCCUCUCGCUCGCUCUCUCCUUCCCUCUUACUCCCGCCGCCUAUCGCUCCGUCCUUGUUCCUUUCGUUCAUUUUUCUCGCUUCCACGCGCCUCGUGGAGAGGCAGAGGAACAGAGCUUGAUGGCGGGGCGAGAGCCGGCUUACUACGCGGUGAAACGCUACCACGGCGCUCAGUCUUCAGCGAUCAAACCGCCAGGCAGUGUGGACCUUCCUGAGCAGUCUCUCUUCUUGUACUCUUCCUUCUCUCCUUUUUUUCUGACCAUGGUGGCUACAAUCGGCAGAUCAAACUGAAAACCCGCGACUAUUCUAGUGUUGAUUGAUUCAACGGUUUGGAGCAAUUUCGACUUUGAAAAUCUGCAAUUAAGCCUACGAGAAGAAUGAAAGAUAAGAGAUGGUCAACAAUUUGGUGCACAGUGUGAAGACAAAGUCCGAAUCAUUUUCUAGAACGGCUUGUAAAUUCUCCAGAAUUCGUGAAAAGUUAUUCACACACGUAGUGGAGCUGCAGUGAAGAAAAAGAAAUUCGGAAGCGCUGACGAUGAAUUAGAUCGAAGGAAUCCAAGUUAACAGAUGUUUGUAAAAAUCUGUCGGAACAUUAUUUCACAUCGCUUAAAACUUCAGAUGGGCCUCACGAAAAUAUUUACUACCAUGAAGAGAUCGGAAAAAGAUUGGGAAAAUUGUUCGACACUUGAAGAUGAUCAAGAUUUCGUUGGACGAAUAUAAUUUUCCGUCGUCGAAAAAGUAACUGUAUCCGCAAAGAUACACGCGUGCAAUGACGCCAAAGUGCAUAUGCGGUUUAAGCGAAUGAGGAAAGUUUGUGCUGCAUCGUGUUAAACCACGUGGUAUGCUAAAUCGCGUGAGUCAUCUUCCCCAUUUCCAUUCGCAAUCGUAAAUUCGCGAUCCGGAUAACAUACAUUGAGGUCAAGUAAUCUUCAAGCUACAAAUAUUCACACUGCCCAUGAAGAUCGUCAAAUGGUCAUUAGAGGUGUAACGUAACAGUGACCACACAGCGAGAUUCGUGGUAUCGUGAUAAUAUUGUCCAAUGACGAUAAUUCCGCAGAAAAAAAGGACCGCAAAAAAAUCACUGCGAGAGUGCGGGAAGUGUAAAAUGUAAAAAGUGGUAAAGUGGAGUAUAAAACUGCACCAUGUCGUUCGUAAGCGUAAUAUCCGCUGUCCGUAUAAUUGAUGAACUCGUUACUCGGAGGUGUAACCUGCCGACGGCACUUACGAUUCGAAACGUUCAAUGGUAGACAAGUGAGAUUCGAAGCCGCGAAAGAAGAUUGCAGCUGCUUCAGUGGCACCGAUUGGUAAGAUACUUGGAGGACCGUUAAGCCGUAAGCUAUAACGCAAUAACGUUUUAAUAAAAUACUAUAAAAAGUCUAUGGUGAAUGUGCCGUUUCGCACCGAACAACAGUUAAUACUUUUAUGAAAACGAAUGACGCGCGCGCGCGCUUGUGAAACAUUACUCGACUAUUCUCAGGAGCUUUAGUUUUUAGCAAAGAUUUCGGUAUUUGAUGUUUCUUUAUUUUAGCGCCUAUCUUUACGAAAUAUAAAGUUUAAAUUUUUUAUGACCCAUAAAUGUUAUUACGUCUUAUCAAAUAUAUAUACAUUGCAAAGUUGCAACACGUUGCCGGAGCUUAGAAAGAUACGUCGUGUCAUUGAAACUAGAUUGAAUCGAGACGAAUGAAGAAUCCGACAAGACGAUACGGCCCUGUCUCGGUGGGCAGAUAGGGUAUAAUCAUACCGAGUUUCGUAUCUCGAGGGGGCCACGGGAAGAUGGACCACAACAUCUGCCGGCUGCAGGGAAUCUCUGCCCACAUGCUGGCCGGCCCGCGCGCAUACGCACACAUACGUACAACGGCAAAAAGUGACGUAGGUACACGGUGGGACGUCAUGUAAAUUCAUUCGAAACACAUGGCAGGGCUCAGAGCGGCGUUUCUCUUGUGCGCGCAAAGGGUUUCAAGGAGAGAAAUCUCUGAAGAGAGUAGGGCCCGCGGAAAAACAAACGAUAACCUCGACUUCAGCUUCGCGUGCCCCCUCGGCAUCGAUGUACCGUAAUAACGUCGCUGCCUCGCAUCAAAUCGGUUUUCUUUCGUCUUCUCCGAGCUGUCGCGAUAAUAUGAAAUAUUCUAGUCGAUCUCAAACCAUCGUUCGCCGGUUUUAUUUUUUGUUAUAUGGAUGGAAUCCUUGAUUAUAAAUGGUGGAAAUUAAUUAUAGCGUUUUGUAAUUAAAAUUUUGAAAGAGUAAUACGUCAUAUAAUAUAUAUCUGAAUAUAUUUAUCAAUUAAUAUAAUUAACGAAGAAUUCUCGUAUCUCAUUAUAAAUUCAAUCCACAAAAACUAUCAUAAUUGGAACCUUUACUAAUUAUGCAUAAUAUUGUAUAAAAUAUCAGCUUUAUUAAAAGAUGAUUUAUGCUAGUAUACUUUAUCGCGUAUACGUUAAUUGGUUACAUCAUUAUUUUAAUAAAUAUGCUUGUUCCGUAA